UACGUAGGGUGCGAGCGUUAAUCGGAAUAAUUGGGCGUAAAGGGUGCGUAGGCGGUUAUGUAAGCUUGAUGUGAAAUCCCCGAGCUUAACUCGGGAAUGGCGUUGAGAACUGCAUGACUAGAAUAUGUCAGAGGGGGGUGGAAUUCCACGUGUAGCAGUGAAAUGCGUAGAUAUGUGGAGGAACAUCGAUGGCGAAGGCAACCCCCUGGGAUAAUAUUGACGCUCAGGCACGAAAGCGUGGGGAGCAAACAGG
rnacentral:rRNA from 1 species